rnacentral:tRNA from 1 species
GCCUGGGUGGCUCAGUUGGUUGAGCAUCCGACUUCUGCUCUGGUCAUGAUCUCGCAGUCUGUGAGUUCGAGCCCCGCAUCAGGCU